rnacentral:misc_RNA from 1 species
CAAAUUCUCAGUAAUCACUGCAUUUCUGCUGACACGAUACAAUGCCGAUCUGUUCAAUGACGCUUUCUCCUGCCUCCGAUAUCUCAGCAAGUGUGCUAUUCAACGCGAAAUCGAUGCUGAAGAAACCGUCGUGAUGGACGCCGCGCAGCCUAACGACCUUCAGGACCUGGCCUUCCACCUCCGACCAUCUCUCGACAGCCGCCAGGCUCACCAUGUUGAUCUCCCCGUCGCCGUCGCCGUACAGCACCUCGGCCUCCCCCUCGAGCCCGUCGGCCCCGAACACGUACGUCUCGGGCGUGCUGACGCCGAACCCGACGACGCUGGUGACCGGCACCAUCGGCGGCGGCAGCGCCUCCCACAUCGGCAGCACCCGCGUCAGGUACGGCCGCACGCCUUCCUGGAAACCGAUGGCCUCGAGGAACGCCGACACGUUGCGCGCCGAGUAGGCCGCGGCGCUGGUCAUCGCCAGCGGCCGGUCCCCGAAGACGAGCGGCGUGGGCAGGCGCCACAGGGCGCUCUGCUGGGUCCGCGCCAUCCGGAGCAUCGCCGGCCGCGGGACGUUCGGGAGGCCGUAGUCCAUGCCGGCGCUGAGGAGGCGCAUCCCAUGCGCGAACCCGCCGAGCGCGGGGCCCAGGAGGACGACGUGCUUCACGUAGCGGCGGCGCCAGGGGAGCGGGCGGGACAGGAGGAGCUGGUAGGUGAGCGCGCAGCCGAAGCUGUGCGCGACCACGAUGGCCGGGCGGCCAUGGAUGAGGCGGCUCUCCUGGAUGAGGCGCCCGAGGUCGCGGAAGUAGCGGUCCCCCACCGCGGACGGGUGGCCGGGAGGCGCCACGGCGUAGCGGAAGUCGUACGGCGCGGCGUGGAGGGUCUCGCCGUCGCGGUAGCCCAUGCCUUCCAGCUGCUGCACCAGCCUGUCCCACCUGGCAGAGGGAUACGCAUAUGUGUCAGUCCUGUCUGUCCCACGCACCCGUCAGGUGGGACCAGCACGCUGCCUGUGAACUGAAAACGUAACGGUGUAUAGGACGACAGAAAGUGAUGCGAGACAGGUGUGCGGUAGCUGGAAGAACGUAGGGCUCGGCUUACCCGAUGAGGGCGCGCGCCGAGCCGAAGAACGGGGUCCGGGUAGCGACGCCGUCGGCGUUGCGGUAGUCGUCGGCGCCGGCGUCGUAGACGAGGCUCAUCUGGUCGGCGAAGCAGGGGACCUGGCUAGCGUCGCGCAUCGCCGUGUGGUUUGGCCAGAGAGGGAACCAACCCUGGUCCGCGGAGCCGGCACAGGCAGGCGCCGGGGGCUCGUACGCCGCCGUCAGCAUCGCCUCCAGCUGGUUGGAGCCGUAGCCCGGCACGAGCACGACCGGGUGCAGGUUCGCGGCCCCGGCGUCGUCGCCGGAACGGCUCCCGAGCGGCUGGGCCAGGAGCGCCGCCACGACGAGGAGCGCAGGAGCGAGAACCAUGGGUCCUGACACUUGGUGGUAGCAAUGUUCUUGUGAGAUAUUUUUUUUUUGUCGUAUGUGUCACGGCCGACAACUAUAUACAUCCGUCCCUCUCGAUCUACUACUGUACAUACCUAUUUUCACCUUGGAUCGACGUCGACGACUGAAGCCUUAGAGCAGGCCACCGAUACUGCUCGAGGAAAAGGAUUCUGUUGAACAACUGCGCCUUCCCAGCUCACCAGCAACGGCUGUUCGAUCUUUGCCUGCUCUUUCCCUAUGAAAUGUACCGUGUGAACAGUGACAACACGGGGACGUCAGAAUUGACUAUCCGAUGCACGUCUUGUAAUCAGGGGCGAAACCAGACUAAAAUCUGAGUAAAUAGAUAUUUACUAUCUAAUUGAUCCUAGUAGAUACAGUAAAAAAGAUAAAAUGUCUACUAAAAUCAAAAAAUUGAGUAGAGUCUGUGCUCCCGCUUGGCUCAAUGUAGGUCCGCCCUGCUUGUACUCCUUUAUCACUCUAUUUUUACUAGUAAGGUCUUGUGUCUAACGGACCGUAUAUAUGAUCUUGGAAAACUUACAUUGUAGAUGGUAUUAUUUGUAUAAUGAAGUUUAAAAUAAGAUAUGGAAUAAGAGGUAGGAAAUGAUAGUUGCUAAACAUUUUUCGAAACAGUUGUAGUUUGGACGAUUUUUUUUCUUCAACGGAUGGAAUUCGGACGUGCGCACGUCAUGAUCGGCAGGAUAGGACAAGAGUAUUGGUGCGUGUGGCACUUUGGAAUUUGGAUGGGUUCGUGUCGGCUUUGUGUGCCAGCGAUAGCCUUAUAGACCUAUCCCAUCCCAACAGAACAUGUAAAGGGAGACACAUAAUUGUUUGUCUCAUGCGUGUCGCUGUAGCAGCAGCCCAAAAAAAAACUUUUAAUAGGAGAUACAUACACGUGAUGCAUUUUUGUGUGCCUCGUCCGAGGAGAGCUAAAAAUAUGUAUCAUCUCUCAUCGCACACACGGGAGCCACGGUCACAUUGUAAUAUGAUGCCUUUUUAGCUAAAGGCAUGUCCAGCGGAUGGUGUCAUCUUCAGACUUAUCAAAUGAGAAUGAUGAAAUCUUCCUUUCACAGCUCAAAUUGUUCGAAGUGUAUCAUUUUGUACAUGAGUGUGAACUCGGUGGUAGAUAAG